rnacentral:lncRNA from 1 species
CAGCACCUUUUUGUAAAUAUUCCAUUUUAAACGAUUGCCUGAAAGAGCUGCAGAGCAUUUCAAAGUUGUAUGGAUUUGCCAGCUUUCAUCCUUGAUGCCUUCUACUGAUUGAUAUCCUACUUGAAUUAAGAUAACUCCAUCCAGCAUGAGAGCACAACUGCACCUUUUUCUCUCCAUGAUCACUGAGGAAAAAGGUGCAACCCUGCACCUUUCAGACUUUGAUAUCCAGGCACUGCGCAACACUCUGCAAGCUGGACAUGAGCAUUAGUGGAACAUAUGUAGACUACACUGAAAAGGUGCAUGUAAUUGACUUAUUUCACCUGAUUGAAUUGCAUUCAGUGUUAUAUUUUUAUGUCAAGUGAACUUUGACCUAUGGAGUACUGCGGUACUUUGACAGCCCUCUGGGCUGUAAAAAUCAGACACAUCAAAUUUUAUAGUAUGAUCUUGGAGGGAUGGUCUUGACAUUUUAACCUGCCAAAGAAGCUAGGCUACAUUACUUAACAGUAUGCUUAUACAGAAAUUGGAAAUAAGUACCAUUUUGUUUCUUUUUUUUUUUUUUUUUUUUUUUUAGCAUGCUUGCUAUGUUCUAUUUUAUUUUUUUUUUGCUUGUUUGUUUGUUUGUUUUUGUUAAUAAAGUGUAUGUUUGCAAUAUGCCUUAACUUAAC